CACCUUCGGGUGUGACUGCGUACCUUUUGUAUAAUGGGUCAGCGACUUAUAUUCUGUAGCAAGGUUAACCGUAUAGGGGAGCCGAAGGGAAACCGAGUCUUAACUGGGCGUUAAGUUGCAGGGUAUAGACCCGAAACCCGGUGAUCUAGCCAUGGGCAGGUUGAAGGUUGGGUAACACUAACUGGAGGACCGAACCGACUAAUGUUGAAAAAUUAGCGGAUGACCUGUGGCUGGGGGUGAAAGGCCAAUCAAACCGGGAGAUAGCUGGUUCUCCCCGAAAGCUAUUUAGGUAGCGCCUCGUGAACUCAUCUUCGGGGGUAGAGCACUGUUUCGGCUAGGGGGCCAUCCCGGCUUACCAACCCGAUGCAAACUACGAAUACCGAAGAAUGUUAUCACGGGAGACACACGGCGGGUGCUAACGUCCGUCGUGAAGAGGGAAACAACCCAGACCGCCAGCUAAGGUCCCAAAGUCAUGGUUAAGUGGGAAACGAUGUGGGAAGGCACAGACAGCCAGGAUGUUGGCUUAGAAGCAGCCAUCAUUUAAAGAAAGCGUAAUAGCUCACUGGUCGAGUCGGCCUGCGCGGAAGAUGUAACGGGGCUAAACCAUGCACCGAAGCUGCGGCAGCGACGCUUAUGCGUUGUUGGGUAGGGGAGCGUUCUGUAAGCCGUUGAAGGUGUGCUGUGAGGCAUGCUGGAGGUAUCAGAAGUGCGAAUGCUGACAUAAGUAACGAUAAAGCGGGUGAAAAGCCCGCUCGCCGGAAGACCAAGGGUUCCUGUCCAACGUUAAUCGGGGCAGGGUGAGUCGACCCCUAAGGCGAGGCCGAAAGGCGUAGUCGAUGGGAAACAGGUUAAUAUUCCUGUACUUGGUGUUACUGCGAAGGGGGGACGGAGAAGGCUAUGUCAGCCGGGCGACGGUUGUCCCGGUUUAAGCAUGUAGGCGGAGGUUCCAGGUAAAUCCGGUACCUUAUUAACGCUGAGGUGUGAUGACGAGGCACUACGGUGCUGAAGUGAUAAAUGCCCUGCUUCCAGGAAAAGCCUCUAAGCAUCAGGUAACACGAAAUCGUACCCCAAACCGACACAGGUGGUCAGGUAGAGAAUACCAAGGCGCUUGAGAGAACUCGGGUGAAGGAACUAGGCAAAAUGGUGCCGUAACUUCGGGAGAAGGCACGCUGAUAUGUAGGUGAAGCCCCUGCGGGCGGAGCUGAAAUCAGUCGAAGAUACCAGCUGGCUGCAACUGUUUAUUAAAAACACAGCACUGUGCAAACACGAAAGUGGACGUAUACGGUGUGACGCCUGCCCGGUGCCGGAAGGUUAAUUGAUGGGGUUAGCGGCAACGCGAAGCUCUUGAUCGAAGCCCCGGUAAACGGCGGCCGUAACUAUAACGGUCCUAAGGUAGCGAAAUUCCUUGUCGGGUAAGUUCCGACCUGCACGAAUGGCGUAAUGAUGGCCAGGCUGUCUCCACCCGAGACUCAGUGAAAUUGAACUCGCUGUGAAGAUGCAGUGUACCCGCGGCAAGACGGAAAGACCCCGUGAACCUUUACUAUAGCUUGACACUGAACACUGGUCCUUGAUGUGUAGGAUAGGUGGGAGGCUUUGAAGCGUGGACGCCAGUCUGCGUGGAGCCGCCCUUGAAAUACCACCCUUUAAUGGCUGGUGUUCUAACGUAGACCCGUGAUCCGGGUUGCGGACAGUGUCUGGUGGGUAGUUUGACUGGGGCGGUCUCCUCCCAAAGAGUAACGGAGGAGCACGAAGGUUGGCUAAUCCUGGUCGGACAUCAGGAGGUUAGUGCAAUGGCAUAAGCCAGCUUGACUGCGAGCGUGACGGCGCGAGCAGGUGCGAAAGCAGGUCAUAGUGAUCCGGUGGUUCUGAAUGGAAGGGCCAUCGCUCAACGGAUAAAAGGUACUCCGGGGAUAACAGGCUGAUACCGCCCAAGAGUUCAUAUCGACGGCGGUGUUUGGCACCUCGAUGUCGGCUCAUCACAUCCUGGGGCUGAAGUAGGUCCCAAGGGUAUGGCUGUUCGCCAUUUAAAGUGGUACGCGAGCUGGGUUUAGAACGUCGUGAGACAGUUCGGUCCCUAUCUGCCGUGGGCGCUGGAGAAUUGAGGGGGGCUGCUCCUAGUACGAGAGGACCGGAGUGGACGCAUCACUGGUGUUCGGGUUGUCAUGCCAAUGGCACUGCCCGGUAGCUAAAUGCGGAAGAGAUAAGUGCUGAAAGCAUCUAAGCACGAAACUUGCCCCGAGAUGAGUUCUCCCUGAGACCUUGAGUCUCCUGAAGGAACGUUGAAGACGACGACGUUGAUAGGUCGGGUGUGUAAGCGCAGCGAUGCGUUGAGCUAACCGAUACUAAUGAACCGUGAGGCUUAACCUU
rnacentral:rRNA from 2 species